AAUCAACGCUGGCGGCGUGCCUAACACAUGCAAGUCGAACGCGAAAGGGGGCUUCGGCCCUGAGUAGAGUGGCAAACGGGUGAGUAACACGUGGGUGACCUGCCUUCGAGGUGGGGGAUAACGUCCCGAAAGGGACGCUAAUACCGCAUGACAUCCUGCCUUUGGACAGGCGGAGAUCAAAGCUAGGGAUCGCAAGACCUGGCGCUUGAAGGAGGGGCCCGCGCCUGAUUAGCAGUUGGC
rnacentral:rRNA from 1 species